UGUCUUUCAUCUGCAUGUGAUGUUUCCCUCUCCACAUAAUCUUCCUCUUCAUCGUCGAAAUCAGGAUUUGGAAGUAUACUGCGGCGUUGUUAGUGAAUUUGAGAAAAAAAUAUAAGUUUACCUAGAAAGUUCUUCGGAUAAAAGGGCCAUUUUUGGAAAAUAAUAAACAACUUUCCACUCAGAUGUGUGAAGUGGUGUUGAGUACGAGUUGUAUGGAUAUAAUGGACAUAUGAAUUCUGUUCGAAUGAAUCCAAAAGC